rnacentral:rRNA from 1 species
GAAAGAUAGCUGCGGUCGAGAUUCCUACGGGAGGCAGCAGUGAGGAAUAUUGGUCAAUGGGCGCAAGCCUGAACCAGCGACGCCGCGUGCGGGAUGAAGGGGCUUUGCCUCGUAAACCGCUGUCGGAUGGGACGAAAGGUGGCUUUAAGCCACUGGGACGGUACCAUCAAAGGAAGGAUCGGCUAACUACGUGCCAGCAGCCGCGGUAAUACGUAGGAUCCGAGCGUUGUCCGGAGUUACUGGGUGUAAAGGGUGCGUAGGCUGUUCUGUGCGUCAGAGGUGAAAUCCACGGGCUUAACUCGUGGGGUGCCUUUGAUACGGCAGGGCUUGAGUACGAGAGAGGUGCGUGGAAUUCCUGGUGUAGCAGUGAAAUGCGUAGAUAUCAGGAGGAACACCGGUGGCGAAGGCGGCGCACUGGCUCGUAACUGACGCUGAGGCACGAAAGCGUGGGGAUCAAACAGGAUUAGAUACCCUGGUAGUCCACGCCUUAAACGAUGCAUGCUUGGUGUUGGUCUCGCAAGAGAUCAGUGCCGUAGUUAACAUGAUAAGCAUGCCACCUGGGGAGUACGAUCGCAAGGUUGAAACUCAAAGGAAUUGACGG